rnacentral:rRNA from 1 species
GGGCAGCAGCAAGGAAUCUUGCGCAAUGGGCGAAAGCCUGACGCAGCGACGCCGCGUGGGGGAAGAAGGCCUUCGGGUUGUAAACCCCUUUUAUCAGGGAAGAAUAAUGACGGUACCUGAGGAAUAAGUCUCGGCUAACUACGUGCCAGCAGCCGCGGUAAUACGUAGGAGGCGAGCGUUAUCCGGAUUUACUGGGCGUAAAGCGUGCGCAGGCGGAUUGUUAAGCAAGAUGUGAAAUCCCCGGGCUUAACCUGGGAAUGGCAUUUUGAACUGGCAGUCUAGAGUGUGUCAGAGGGGGGUGGAAUUCCACGUGUAGCAGUGAAAUGCGUAGAGAUGUGGAGGAACACCGAUGGCGAAGGCAGCCCCCUGGGAUAACACUGACGCUCAUGUACGAAAGCGUGGGUAGCAAACAGGAUUAGAUACCCGGGUAGUC